rnacentral:rRNA from 1 species
AUGAACGCUGGCGGCGUGCCUAAUACAUGCAAGUCGAGCGAACGGACGAGAAGCUUGCUUCUCUGAUGUUAGCGGCGGACGGGUGAGUAACACGUGGAUAACCUACCUAUAAGACUGGGAUAACUUCGGGAAACCGGAGCUAAUACCGGAUGAUAUUUUGAACCGCAUGGUUCAAAAGUGAAAGACGGUCUUGCUGUCACUUAUAGAUGGAUCCGCGCUGCAUUAGCUAGUUGGUAAGGUAACGGCUUACCAAGGCAACGAUGCAUAGCCGACCUGAGAGGGUGAUCGGCCACACUGGAACUGAGACACGGUCCAGACUCCUACGGGAGGCAGCAGUAGGGAAUCUUCCGCAAUGGGCGAAAGCCUGACGGAGCAACGCCGCGUGAGUGAUGAAGGUCUUCGGAUCGUAAAACUCUGUUAUUAGGGAAGAACAUAUGUGUAAGUAACUGUGCACAUCUUGACGGUACCUAAUCAGAAAGCCACGGCUAACUACGU